rnacentral:tRNA from 1 species
GCCCCGAUAGCUCAGUCGGUAGAGCAUCUCCAUGGUAAGGAGAAGGUCAAGGGUUCGAAUCCCUUUCGGGGCUC